AUGAUAAAGCAGCUGCUCCCAGGAUUUGCUAGAGAAAGCAACAGUCAUGUUCCUUUUGCAGAUAAUAAACAGAGUCCGUGCAACUGGAGAGGCAGGGUGUGGAUUAAUAACACCUUCUGCAACAGUAAUAAUGUGUCUGUAUUACUUGUUUUUCAGAAGAGCAAUUUUCUUCACACUAAUAAAUCUAACUGCAGAAAUAUGGCUUAUGUCACAAAGGUGCAUUGCCGCAGUGUAGUCUUUAUCACUGAGUCCCUUUCCUCAGGUUCAUGGUGAUUUCUACCCGAGUUCAGAAGCUGAAGACUGCACAGUGACAGGAGGGACAGCUGCUUGAAAGACCAGACUUACAGACUUAUUCCUGAAG
rnacentral:lncRNA from 1 species